rnacentral:rRNA from 1 species
AUUGAACGCUAGCGGGAUGCUUUACACAUGCAAGUCGAACGAAGUGGCGGACGGGUGAGUAAUAUAUCUGAACUUGCUCAAUAGCUGGGUAUAACUCCGCGAAAGAGUGGCUAAUACCGCAUAUCAGUGGAGCGGCCGAUGUCGAGCUAGCUAGUUGGUGGGGGAAAGGCUCACCAAGGCAAAUAUCCGUAGCUGGUUUGAGAGGACGACCAGCCACACUGGGACGGAGACACGGCCCAGACUCCUACGGGAGGCAGCAGUGGGGAAUUUUGGACAAUGGGGGAAACCCUGAUCCAGCCAUCCCGCGUGUAUGAUGAAGGCCUUCGGGUUGUAAAGUACUUUUGGCAGAGAAGCGGUAUCUGCAGAAUAAGCACCGGCUAACUACGUGCCAGCAGCCGCGGUAAUUC